rfam:Microgenomates (Curtissbacteria) bacterium GW2011_GWA1_40_24 TT92_C0001, whole genome shotgun sequence.
GUCCUCGUCGUUCAACGGAUAGGACAUGGGUUUCCUAAACCUAAAAUCGAGGUUCGAUUCCUCGCGAGGGCA